rnacentral:rRNA from 1 species
UUGGGAGCUCUCCCAUAUGGUCGACCUGCAGGCGGCCGCGAAUUCACUAGUGAUUCGUAUUACCGCGGCUGCUGGCACAGAGUUAGCCGGUGCUUAUUCUGUCGGUAACGUCAAAACAGCAAGGUAUUCGCUUACUGCCCUUCCUCCCAACUUAAAGUGCUUUACAAUCCGAAGACCUUCUUCACUCACGCGGCAUUGCUGGAUCAGGCUUGCGCCCAUUGUCCAAUAUUCCCCACUGCUGCCUCCCGUAGGAGUCUGGGCCGUGUCUCAGUCCCAGUGUGGCUGAUCAUCCUCUCAGACCAGCUAAGGAUCGUCGGCUUGGUAGGCCUUUACCCCACCAACUACCUAAUCCUACGCGGGCUCAUCCCUGGCCGAUAAAUCUUUGGUCCGAAGACAUCAUCCGGUAUUAGCAGUCAUUUCUAACUGUUAUUCCGAAGCCAAGGGCAGAUUCCCACGCGUUACGCACCCGUGCGCCACUAACCCCGAAGGGUUCGUUCGACUUGCAUGUGUUAGGCAUGCCGCCAGCGUUCGUUCUGAGCCAUGAUCAAACUCUAAUCGAAUUCCCGCGGCCGCCAUGGCGGCCGGGAGCAUG